rnacentral:rRNA from 1 species
AUUGAACGCUGGCGGCAGGCCUAACACAUGCCAGUCGAGCGGAUGAAGGGAGCUUGCUCCUGGAUUCGGCGGCGGACGGGUGAGUAAUGCCUAGGAAUCUGCCUGGUAGUGGGGGAUAACGUCCGGAAACGGGCGCUAAUACCGCAUACGUCCUGAGGGAGAAAGUGGGGGAUCUUCGGACCUCACGCUAUCAGAUGAGCCUAGGUCGGAUUAGCUAGUUGGUGGGGUAAAGGCCUACCAAGGCGACGAUCCGUAACUGGUCUGAGAGGAUGAUCAGUCACACUGGAACUGAGACACGGUCCAGACUCCUACGGGAGGCAGCAGUGGGGAAUAUUGGACAAUGGGCGAAAGCCUGAUCCAGCCAUGCCGCGUGUGUGAAGAAGGUCUUCGGAUUGUAAAGCACUUUAAGUUGGGAGGAAGGGCAGUAAAUUAAUACCUUGCUGUUUUGACGUUACCAACAGAAUAAGCACCGGCUAACUUCGUG